UACGGAGGGGGCAAGCGUUGUUCGGAAUCAUUGGGCGUAAAGCGGGUGCAGGCGGUGACGUAAGUCGGAUGUGAAAUCCCAGGGCCCAACCCUGGAACUGCAUUCGAAACUGCUUCACUAGAGUCCCGGAGAGGAAGGCGGAAUUCCCGGUGUAGAGGUGAAAUUCGUAGAUAUCGGGAGGAACACCAGUGGCGAAGGCGGCCUUCUGGACGGUGACUGACGCUCAGACCCGAAAGCGUGGGUAGCGAAC
rnacentral:rRNA from 1 species